GCUUGGGUGGCUUAGUUGGUUGAGCGUCUGACUUCGGCUCAGGUCAUGAUCUUAUGGUUCAUGAGUUCGAGCCCCGUGUCGGGCU
rnacentral:tRNA from 1 species